CCUACGGGUGGCUGCAGUGGGGAAUUUUGGACAAUGGGGGCAACCCUGAUCCAGCCAUUCCGCGUGAGUGAAGAAGGCCUUCGGGUUGUAAAGCUCUUUCAGCUGGAACGAAACGGUGCGCUCUAACAUAGCGCGCUAAUGACGGUACCAGCAGAAGAAGCACCGGCUAACUACGUGCCAGCAGCCGCGGUAAUACGUAGGGUGCGAGCGUUAAUCGGAAUUACUGGGCGUAAAGCGUGCGCAGGCGGAUUGUUAAGCAAGAUGUGAAAUCCCCGGGCUUAACCUGGGAAUGGCAUUUUGAACUGGCAGUCUAGAGUGCGUCAGAGGGGGGUGGAAUUCCACGUGUAGCAGUGAAAUGCGUAGAGAUGUGGAGGAACACCGAUGGCGAAGGCAGCCCCCUGGGAUGACACUGACGCUCAUGUACGAAAGCGUGGGUAGCAAACAGGCUUAGAUACCCCAGUAGUC
rnacentral:rRNA from 1 species